AGGGUUUGAUCAUGGCUCAGGACGAACGCUGGCGGUGUGCUUAACACAUGCAAGUCAAGGAGAACUUUAUCUUCGGAUAAAUAUUAAACUGGCGAACGGGUGAGUAACGCGUAAAUAACUUGCCUUGGAGAUUGGGAUAACAUUGGGAAACCAGUGCUAAUACCAAAUAAUGCAGCGGGCCCUUCGGGGCAUUUGUUGUUAAAGUAGGCUUCGGCUUACACUUUGAGAUAGAUUUGCGUCCGAUUAGUUUGUUGGUAGGGUAAUUGCCUACCAAGGCGAAGAUCGGUAGCUGGUCUGAGAGGAUGAUCAGCCACACUGGAAUUGAGAUACGGUCCAGACUCCUACGGGAGGCAGCAGUGAGGAAUUUUGCACAAUGGGCGAAAGCCUGAUGCAGCAACACCGCGUGAUUGAUGAAGUUUUUAGGAAUGUAAAAAUCUGUCGUAAGGGAAGAAAUGUUUCAGAUGUUAAUACCAUCUGUCAUUGACGGUACCUUACAAGAAAGGACCGGCUAACUUCGUGCCAGCAGCCGCGGUAAUACGAGGGGUCCUAGCGUUGUCCGGAUUUACUGGGCGUAAAGGGUACGUAGGCGUUUUAAAAAGUUAUGUGUUAAAUACUUUAGCUUAACUAAAGAAGUGCACAUAAAACUAUUAAAAUAGAGUUUGAGAGAGGA
rnacentral:rRNA from 1 species